CUUUAACCUUCCACCACCACCCACCUCCUCCCUUAGUGAGUUAGUUGCUUUCUUCUCUAUCAUAAUCUCUCUUUCUUCCUUGAUUUCUAUUAGUCUUUACUCAAAUUGAAUCGUUAUUCAAAAUCAAAUCGAGUUCGAGAACCAGAAUCAUCAUUAUCGCCUACCACGUUUUUCAGAGAAUAAAUCAUCAUCUUCGUAGAACAGGGCUAUAGAUAACCAGUCGUAUGUGGUUGGUGCUGCUGUGAUGGGUGUUCUAGCAUCUCUACCAAGUCUGCACUAAAUGAAGAGCCAAUAGUCACCGUUUUGUCCUGAAAGUGCAUGAUUAGCCUCAGAUGUUAUAAAAAUGAAGGGAACUGGUGCACUUGGCGGGAAAGCCAUUAAUUUGGAUUCAGUUUAUACUAGAGAUGGACCGCAAAGGCAUGAUCCAGAGAGAUGGUGGAAUGCCAGGAAACCUGAUAUUUUUUGUAAUGAAGCUCUGUGGCGCAAAAUCAUGAUCCAGAGAGAUAGUGUAAUGGCCAGGAAACCUGAUAUUUUUUAUAAUGAAGCUCUGUGGCGCUACCGUACACCUAAUCGCGUUCAUGAAGUCCUUGCUUCGCCAAGCCAUCAUCUACCUGUAGUCUUAACUCGGCAGUCGUGAUCUGCCAAUGCAUAUGUUCUGAGCCUUUAGUGCAAUAAUUAUGCACAUGAAAUGUAGCUGACAAGUAGAAAAUGAGUUGUCUUACUCUGAAGUCUUAAGAAGUUGGGCCAUCAUCUGUAGGUCGAAAAAUUAGUAUUGACGAUCAUUGAAUUGCUAUCAAAGAAGUUGUUGCGAA